UUACAAGGGUGCUAGGAGACUAUUGGUGAGAAAUACUCAAUUCAAAGUGCUCGUAUAUGAGGAGUUGUUUCAUGAAUUAUGAAACUAUGAUAUUAUUUAGCAGGUCAAGAACAUUAUUGAAUACAUCUUAUAGAUAAGCUUGGACCAACAAUGGCUGUGGAGAAAUGCAUUCAUUGCAUGAAGCAAACAUAUUAUGUAACAUUUAUUGGUGGCUCUAUGUAAUCCAUUUUUUAUAUGUAAUUUCAUAUUUUGUAAUUAUGUUUCUUAAUGUAAUGUAUAAAUACCAAAUAAUAUAAUAUGUACUGAUUGCAA